rnacentral:rRNA from 1 species
GAUGAACGCUAGCGGGAGGCCUAACACAUGCAAGCCGAGCGGUAUUUCUUCUUCGGAAGAGAGAGAGCGGCGCACGGGUGCGUAACACGUGUGCAACCUACCUUUAUCUGGGGGGUAGCCUUUCGAAAGGAAGAUUAACGCCCCAUAAUAUAUUGAAUGGCAUCAUUUGAUAUUGAAAACUCCGGUGGAUAAAGAUGGGCACGCGCAAGAUUAGAUAGUUGGUGAGGUAACGGCUCACCAAGUCAAUGAUCUUUAGGGGUCCUGAGAGGGAGAUCCCCCACACUGGUACUGAGACACGGACCAGACUCCUACGGGAGGCAGCAGUGAGGAAUAUUGGACAAUGGGUGAAAGCCUGAUCCAGCCAUCCCGCGUGAAGGAUGACGGUCCUAUGGAUUGUAAACUUCUUUUGUACAGGAAUAAACCUACUCUCGUGAGAGUAGCUGAAGGUACUGUACGAAUAAGCACCGGCUAACUCCGUGCCAGCCGCCGCCGUAA